rnacentral:rRNA from 1 species
CCGAUCGUCCUGUGCAGCCACAAGGUGGACGUGAAGAACCGGCAGGUGAAAGCCAAGAUGGUGAACUUCCACAGGAAGAAGAACCUCCAGUACUACGAGAUCUCCGCCAAGAGCAACUACAACUUCAAGAAGCCUUUCCUCUACCUUGCAAGGAAGCUCCCAGGGUAA